ACCUAGGUAGUUUAAGUAAAGAAUAAUAAUUUGUGAUAUUAUAGGUAUUUUUAAUCUUAGGUU
rnacentral:tRNA from 1 species